rnacentral:piRNA from 1 species
UCCCAAAGUGCCAGGAGUGCAGCCUCUGC